rnacentral:rRNA from 1 species
GAUGAACGCUAGCUACAGGCUUAACACAUGCAAGUCGAGGGACCGGCGCACGGGUGAGUAACACGUAUCCAACCUGCCCUUUACUCGGGGAUAGCCUUUCGAAAGAAAGAUUAAUACCUGAUAUAAAGGACGGGGAUGCGUUCCAUUAGGUUGUGGGUGAGGUACCGGCCCACCAAGCCUUCGAUGGAUAGGGGUUCUGAGAGGAAGGUCCCCCACAUUGGAGCUGAGGCACGGACCAAACUCCUAGGGGAGGCAGGAGUAAGGUAUAUUAGUCAAUGGGCGCUAGCCUGAACCAGCCAAGUGGCGUAAGGGGUGAAGGCUUUUGAGACGUAAACUUCUUGUGUAGAAGAAUAGGUAUUAUAUGAAUAAGGAUCGGCUAACUCCGUGCCAGCAGCCGCGGUAAUUC